UUGCUUUUGGGAAGAAGAUGUCCCUCAUAUCCAAAUUAUCCAUCUGCUUCACUUUGUCAGCUCUUUUUUUCCUAAUAUUUUGCUGAUCAUUUUAGGAUGGAAUAUUC